rnacentral:rRNA from 1 species
CUUGGUCAUUUAGAGGAAGUAAAAGUCGUAACAAGGUUUCCGUAGGUGAACCUGCGGAAGGAUCAUUAUUUGAUUCGAAAUUUGGGGUAUUAUAUGCCUCUUAUUUUCACAGUGAACUGUCUUGUUGUACUAUUGUUGUAUUUUUAUAAAGCAUUCUUCGGAAUUUGCAUCAAUUAAAGACAACUUUCAGCAAUGGAUCUCUUGGCUCUUGCAUCGAUGAAGAACGCAGCGAAAUGCGAUACGUAACGUGAAUUGCAGAACCGUGACUCAUCGAAAUUUUGAACGCACAUUGCACCUGGUGGAAUUCCGCCAGGUAUGCUUGUUUGAGGGUCUGUUUAUUCUCUCUCUAUUCGGAAAUCGCAAGGUUUUCGAAUAAAGGACUUGGCCUCGAGCGACUAUUCGUCUCUCUUGGCUUGAAUUCAGACCGUGGUCUCUUUUGAAAGAUCCUUUUGAAUGCGACGUAUCCAUAUCAGCCAACUCGUUGGUUUACUUGGGUACUUUAAAGUCGAGGGCUUUCAACACAGUGAUGACCCCAGCGGCAAAAAACGCCUAGUUUUUUACUCAAGGACCUCAAAUCAAGCAAGGCUACCCGCUGAACUUAAGCAUAUCAAUAAGCGGAGGA